AUGCAGACAAGCUGUAUAACGGCCAGCUAUCGGAGUUCACCCCGCUGGCAUCUCUCCACGCGCCCACGCGCAGGAGGGCCGACCACCAGAACCCCAUUCCCAGAAGAACAAACUGGUGUUGCCUCUGUGCAUAUCUCUUAUCCAGGAACACCCCAUAAGACACUAGUCUUUUCCAGUUCAGUUGUAAGUGGCCAGGCCGUGAUAGUGGUUUAUCUCUACUGGACUAGAGACAGUUCUGUGUGUGUAGCAUCCCGUGUCAUAGACUGUCCUUGUGUCUACUGUGGAGUGAUGUGAUUAUACCUCCAUUCCCCCUUGUAACCGUCCCAUUUCCUGACAUGGAAGCUGAGGCAUCCUGCCUCACGUAGUGCUAAGGACCCACAGUGGGAAACCAGUAUGCAUGGGAAUCCUUUUCCGCCUUAACAUCUACACAGUGUUUCCUUUGAAAUACACAGUAGUCUGGAACCAAAGGCUCAGAAAAUACUUUUUCAAUGGCUUGCCUUGCUGGUUAUUGCCUUACACUGAGACUGGGUGGGACAGAGGAAGGUGGACAGUAUUAGAUAGGAGAGAGAACCUACUUUGUUUCUGGGCUUUAACGUUGUCCAUGUAGAUAUCUAACAUCUCUCACACUCAGAUCUGAAGCCUUUAAAGAGCAGUGGAUCUCUGUUACAGAAAUACAACAUGUAGAAUGUAGACAUUAUGCUCAGCUGCUUUGCUCUGUCCUUUGGCAUAAAUAAUAUAGAACAUACCCAUAGAAGUCUCACACGAUGCGUGAGAGCCUCAUGAAUGUGUUAUAAGUGUGUUAUAAUUCUAUCACAAGAGUCUGUCAGGGGUCUUAACAUCUCAUCUGUCAAUGUGUGCUCUCUCCCUCCCUCAGAUCCUCUCUGAUGCUUUUAUGUUUCAUUUUCUUUCUUCAUGUGUUUUUUUUACCUCUACCAUUUCUCCACUUGUUCCUUUUGAAGUGAUGCUCGUGUGGAUCUGUCCUCUCGAGCCUCACUACAUCUCCUCCUCCUCACUGCCGCCUCCUCUCAUCCUCCACUCCUCCUCUCAUCCAUUCAUCCAUUCACUCCUUCAUCCGGUCAUGCAUCCCUCCAUCCGUCUCCUAAGAACACAGUCUGUGUGGUGGGUGUAAGGAGAGAGAGAACGAGAAAGGGAGAUGGAGGGGGGACUGUACCAAAACCAAGGUUUUUCUAGACACAUUUAGAUUUCUUGUGGUCCUGUGGUGCAUUGUGGGAUCUGUUCAAACCAAGAGGAACAAAAGUAUAUUGAUGUCCCAUAUAUAGAAAGGGAUGUUGUAAUACACAGUGUGUGUGUGUGUGUGUGUGUGUGUGUGUGUGUGUGUGUGUGUGUGCAGAUAUCUGUUUCAUUGAAAGCAGCAAUGAUAUUUAAGAUGGCCGUCUGUUAUUAGGUGGUAUUAUGAAUCUUCACUGAAAUGUAAAGACACUAAACAUUAUACCACAGUCAGAACUAUAACACUGGACAUUACACCAGAGUCAGAACUAUAACACUGGACAUUACACCACAGUCAGAACUAUAACACUGGACAUUACACCACAGUCAGAACUAUAACACUGGACAUUACACCACAGUCAGAACUAUAACACUGGACAUUACACCAGAGUCAGAACUAUAACACUGGACAUUACACCACAGUCAGAACUAUAACACUGGACAUUACACCACAGUCAGAACUAUAACACUGGACAUUACACCNNNNNNNNNNGUGUGUGUGUGUGUGUGUGUGUGUGUGUGUGUGUGUGUGUGUGUGUGCAGAUAUCUGUUUCAUUGAAAGCAGCAAUGAUAUUUAAGAUGGCCGUCUGUUAUUAGGUGGUAUUAUGAAUCUUCACUGAAAUGUAAAGACACUAAACAUUAUACCACAGUCAGAACUAUAACACUGGACAUUACACCAGAGUCAGAACUAUAACACUGGACAUUACACCACAGUCAGAACUAUAACACUGGACAUUACACCACAGUCAGAACUAUAACACUGGACAUUACACCACAGUCAGAACUAUAACACU
rnacentral:lncRNA from 13 species